AACCGGAGUGAUGAGAAAGUAUCCUUAGGCGUGGUGGUGGCCGUCCUGGUCACUCAAGAGCCACUUGCCGAUGCAAGGACCUGUCAUAGUUACACUGACUGGUG
ensembl:snoRNA